UAGUAGUCCCUGUCUUGUACACAGUGCUGAUUUGCAUAUUACAAGUUUUAAGAAGCCCUGCUGUAACUAAACAUAGACAAUUCUUGACCUUUUGGAUCAAAGCUCCAGUGGUGGUGAUGGGGGCGGCAGGGGGAGGUCAGGACUGAGGGGACUGUGCCGCUGAAGAAGGUGGUGUUACCUGUAGAUAUGAGAGCACUAGACAAGUUGAUCCUAAAGGUCCUAUGGAAAAAUAAACAAGAAAUAACAGCCAGGAAUCCCCUGAAAAAGAAGAUUGAUGAAGAGGGCAAACCCCACCAGAUUUUAAACCACAAAGCCUCUGGUUAAAACUGUAAGGGCAAGAGGUAUAAGAGGACUCUCUA